rnacentral:rRNA from 1 species
UACGGAGGGGGCUAGCGUUGUUCGGAAUUACUGGGCGUAAAGCGCGCGUAGGCGGCUUUGCAAGUCAGAGGUGAAAGCCCGGGGCUCAACCCCGGAAUUGCCUUUGAGACUGCAUCGCUAGAACGUCGGAGAGGUAAGUGGAAUUCCGAGUGUAGAGGUGAAAUUCGUAGAUAUUCGGAAGAGCACCAGUGGCGAAGGCGACUUACUGGACGACUGUUGACGCUGAGGUGCGAAAGCGUGGGGAGCAAACAGG